CUUUUCUAUUAAGCUCCGUCACAGCGCGAUUUUUCUCCCUGUGCUCAAGGCCCUUCUCUUGCAACUCUCCCUGGCCCGCUGAGCUGCACACACACACACACACACACACACACGCAAAGACAUCUAUCCCACCCGAUACGCCUGCGCCGCUCACGCCGCUGUCACGUGGGAUCGUAAGAAGGGAACGGGGUGGGUCGAUCGAGGAAAGCCGCAGUGGCGCAACGCAGCGAGAGGGCGCGCACGGCCCUUUUUCCAUCCCUACUCUCCGGCUCUCUCUCUUCAAAUACACACAUACGUACACCUCUUCACAUCUUCCCAGCAUUCGGUGCGCCUUCUCGUUUCUGUUUGGGGGCGUCGCCACCACCCGAGCACACGCACCGCACGCCUACAGGACGCAGAGUGUGUGGGGCACUCCCUCUCUGGUGCCCCCAACGGCCUCACACACCAUGUCAGGGCUGUCACUUGCGCAGUCACGCCUGCGCGAGGAGCGCAGAGCUUGGCGGAAAGAUCGACCGUUCGGUUUUUGGGCCAAGCCGCUCGAGAUCGCCCCAGGCAGCUGCCGCGUCAGUGGCGUGAAGCACACGCGUGAGGGAGGGCAGCUGACGCUGCACACGGCUUCGGGUUCGGCAUCCAGCAACACGACCGCCUCAUCGUCCUCUAUGACCGUCUCUCCCUCGAAUGCGACGUCCGGGGCGGGCGCUGCUGCGGCGAGGGACUCCGCCGCCGCCGCUCUCCCGGCUGGGCUGGACCUGCUUCACUGGGAGGCGGGCAUCCCCGGGAAGCCUGGCACGCCGUGGGAGGGCGGCGAGUUUCGCCUCCGCCUCAACUUUACGGAGGACUACCCCACAAAGCCCCCCAAGUGCGUCUUCACGCCGGUGCUCUUCCACCCCAACGUAUACCCGAGCGGCACCGUCUGCCUCUCGAUCCUUAACGAGGAGAAGGACUGGCGCCCGAACAUCACCAUAAAGCAGAUACUGCUGGCCAUCCAGGAGUUGCUGGACCACCCCAACAUCAAGGACCCCGCGCAGGAGGAGCCGUACAAGGUUUACAUGCGCGACAUCAAGGAGUACGAGGCGCGCGUGCGCGAGGAGGUGCAGAGGCAUCAUUGGAAAGGCUAGCGCAUGCUGUAUGCGAACGAAAGGUUGCGAAGGCUGUGUGCGCGCGUGCUUGUGUGCGUGUGGGGCUUGGGCGCGGCGGGCGGGGCUCUUCUGCUGUGUUGGUUUUAUGCUGUGCGUAGAGCGCUUGCUUGUGUGGGACGCACUUCGUCUCCCGCCCUGUCGUCUACCUCGAUGACUGCACUUCACGUAAGCAGCCGUAAAGGAAGGCAGAGGCGAGGGUGCGCGCCACUGCCGUCGAGCUUCGGGAAGGAUGUGGGGUGCAUGUGGAGUGCCAGCAGGAGAGUGAGCGAGCGAAAGGCAGAAACGCCUCCAGGGCUGGUGUGCGGUGGAGUGCGGGGAGGGAGGGUGGGUGGUUGGGUGGGUUGCCAGCGACACACGUCUAUGCGCAUGACCCUCCCUCCCUCUCUGCCCUCCACCGCACACACAGACCCUCACUGGGUCUGCGUGGGGGAUGGUGUUGGCCUCCAUCCCGGCCUUGCUCUUCUCGCCAUCGCCUUCUCACGGCCCCUGCUCUCACCGGCAGCGCCCCUCCUCGUGUGGUGAAGACAGCCAAGCCAACAUCGAUGGAAGACAAGCAACCAAAGUGGGCAAGCGAAGACACCCACGAUGUGGAGUCAGCAGCGGAGUAGACGGACAUCGACGCAUCCUAGAGGGAGGGUGGGGGGGGGCGUGACUUGCAGAGAGACGGUGGAUGGCGGAGAUGCGUCGUGGAAGCGAGCGCGCCCGCGGGGACUGCGGCGAGGGCCGGAGGCGCUGUCGAGCUGCUGCUGCUGUUUCGUCCCUCUCUGUCCUUUGCUCUCCUCAAAUGCUCGUCUUCGGUGUCCCUCUGUCCAUCCCGACCUUCCCUCCUGCAGCCGGGUCUACUCCUGGGUGCAUCGCCUUCAAUGCCCGUCGUGCACCGGUACCCGCUCGCACCUCCCCCCACAGACCUUUCCCCAUGUGUUCGGCGCACGUGCGCGUGUGCAUGGCCAUUCCGCUCAUCAUCACCGGCAUCGUGACCUCAUCCACACCCCUCGGCGACGUUCUCACCUCCGCUGCGACUCGUUUCUGUGUGUUUUCUCCCCUGUACGCAUCAUCCGCUCUUCGCUCCUGUCUCGACCGUCUCCGGCCGGUGGCGGCGUUGCUGCCAUAG
rnacentral:misc_RNA from 1 species